GUCGCUGUCCAGCAGAUGUCUGCGCGGGAGACCCAGCUAAGUCUUGUGCGGUACCUCCUCCCAGCUGAUCCCAACCCGGUCCCCCAGCCACUCGAUAGAAACACGAUUCACAUCGUCCCCGUUCCUGAGUGAAGAUCUCGUCCCCCACGACCUGCUUCGCCUCGCUCGUGAUGAUUUCUUACACUUGAUUGGGGAUCCCGCCUUCUUCACCUUCCCCCACCCAAUCUUUCUCAGGUGUGUGAUGAUCCAAAAAGAGUAACAAUGUAAGUUUUAUGAAGACCUCCUCAUAAAAGGUUUCAGAAAUACUGUUUUCUGUUUACUUUUUGAUAUGUGGAUGAGAAACAACACCCCAUCUUUCCAGAACACAAGGAGGGGGCAACUUCAAGCUAGCAGUUGAAUUGGGAAUCUUCUGAUACAUGAUGCAUUGCAUCAUUGCCCCUACUUAAGUCAACAUCGUUUUUCAAAAAAAUUGUUUUGUGUUAAAUUUUAUCUGUAAAACUUUCUACCAAACAAAGAUGUGCAGAUUAAAUAAAAUUUCUAAAAGUGGUUGAUAA